AUGUUCACCGUGAAGAUGUUCGACAACACCAUGUGCCGCAUGUACUACCAGCACGACGACGAUGCCAGCAAUGGGAGCAGCAGCGGGGAUGACGAGGAGCAGAGCGGGGAUGAUGACAAGGAGCAGAGCGGGGAUGACGAGGAGCAGCCUAUUCUGGCUAAUGACGAACAUGCUAUGGUGGUGGCUGACGACGAGCCUGCUAUGUUGGUGGUGGAUGACCACCUUUCUAUGGUGGUGGCGGACGACGACCUCACGAUGGUGGUGGCGAACGACGACCUCGCGAUGGUGGCGGCGCCUGCAAUCCCACAACUUGGCGACAGGACCAUGCCAAUUGUGGUAGAGGAGUACAUCCGCGUUGGGAUUCGCCACUCUGAGCGCAUCAGGUUGAUGAAGGAGAAGGAGGAGUGA
rnacentral:rRNA from 1 species